rnacentral:lncRNA from 10 species
AGCUGGGCAUGGCGUCACACACCUUUAGUCCCAGCUACUUGAGAGCCGGAAGUGGGAGGAUCACCUGAGCCCAGGAGGCUGAGGCUGGAGUGAGCAGUGAUCAUGCCACUGCAAUGUAGCCUGGGGGAUAGAACAAGACCCUGUCUCAAAAAUAAUAAAUAAAUAAAAAAAUAAAAAAAAAAUAAAUAAAUAAUAAGCAUUCCUAUAAGAAAUAACUAAUUAGCAGAUACAAUGUGAAGGGAAAAACUAACCCACAAUAGCAACAAAAGCCAUAAAAUACCUAGUUUUAUUACCCUUCAGCAGCUCUUGAACAUGUGAACUGAAAUGUUAUUUGUGGAGGACAUAUUAUUACAUUAUUUUCUUUCUUCUUCUUUUUUUUCUGGCAUUUCUAUCUCAGACUGCUGUGCUAGCAAUGAGGGAGGUUCCAUGGGCGUGGGACCCUCCGAGCCAGG